GUGGUGGUUAUACGCGCACGAGUCUUAUUCCACGCCUUUAACUGCAGAAGAUGAGGGCUCCAGGAACUCCAGCCAGCUCGAGUUCUCAAAUUAAAAUGCCCUAAAACUCCUGCCAUUCCGGAAUUCGCACGGUCGAAUAAAUGCAUUUGGUUGGAUACAUAGAGUCAUUCUUCUUCUUCUGGAUACAUUCUCUUCUUCUUCUUCUUCUUCUUCUUCUGGAGCCGUAGAGCCGUAGAGUCAUUCCAAAAUAGGGCAUCAUGGAUUUGAAACGACUCGAUAAUAGAUUGAUAUGCGGAGACGUGGGAUUUUGCAAAACUGAAGUUGGUCUUCAUGUCAUAUUCUGUGUGGUCUAGCAUCCAGAGGUCAAGGUUGGAUUUCAAAUUAGGUUUCAGGUUAUGAUAAGAAGGCAAUGAGCUGAGUUUCAUGUGAAUAUUCCAGCCCUCGCAAGCUUGAUGCUAUGCCUAUGGGAAUUUCUUGAUUUUCAAGUGCAUACCUACACCUAAAGUUUCUUUAACUGGCUUAUGUUACAAGAAGAUGUGUGCAGUUCGAAAAGUUCAGCCAACCAACUGCAUAAAGCAGUGACAGCAAUUAAUGCUCAGUUCUUUUAAAGGUGGAAAUACUGAGAACUAUAGCCUCUCUGGCAGCUAGAAAAUUGAUACACAGAAUUUUGAUUAGCAUUUUAUUACAUGUUUAUAAGCUUUACUGACUAUUUCCCAUCAUGUUACACUGGAAGAGCAAGCUUAGGAGAUUCGAUCUAGGAGAGAAUAGUUGACCAUUACUUUCACAUUGAUUGUAUGUGGGACUUAACUAUAGAACACAAGAUUUGAGGCAUCUAUAGUAAUCUAGAGAAGAAAGUUGAAUUUGAAUCAAUUUGAUACAUGAUUAAUGCUGUUGGCUUGAAUAGUGGUCUGCUAAAGUUACCAUACUUUUGUUGCAUACAGCUUUGUGGAUACACAAAUUAUAUUUACUAAUGGAGGUCUUGAUGCUAGGAAAAACUUGGAACCAAGUUUGUACUAAUGUGGUUUUUAAGCCUUUUUAUUCUUGUACAAGUAAUCUAUCUGCUCUUCCAAUAGCAAAUUGUUUAACAGUAACAUUUGAGCAAUGGAAUCCCUCUAACAUUUGGUUUUACACUUGUGAGCUCUUCUUUGUUCUUCCAUUUCCUCCUUAACUUGUCUUCUGUUAUUGUAGAUUUCUUUUCUUAUAACCUAUUUGGGGCAAAGUCAGCAAUCUGAAAGCAACUCAAGCUUUCUCACUUUAUCUUUGAGCUUCAGUAUAUCUUAAAUGGAACUACUUUAGUACAUCACGACCAGAGAAAUCUACCUUGAAAUUUUUCAUCACAUGCGGAUCCAGAAAAAAUUCUUUUGAUUGCUAUACCACCCUUGUAAAACAAUAGAUAGGAAAGUCAUCAUCACAAACUAAGGCUGAUUUUUGUACAUUAAGUCUAUUUAGGGGAUGGCAGCUGAGGCUUAAUUGUGGGACGGAGGGGAGAUUUGGUGGAGGAAUGGUUUGUACUUCGCUAUUGGGGCAUGAUAGGAGAGGAGGAGGUCAAAUAUUUGCAGUAACAAGUUGGUUGAGGAAACUCUAAAUAGGGAGAUGGACAGAGCUGCUGGAUAAGUAUGCUUCUUUUAAGUGGAAAAAAUUUCAUAUUGCACGCAUUAAUUCUUGAUGCAUGAAAACCUAAAAUUUUAGUUCUAGUUAACCAAGUUAUUAUAGUGAAUUUGCAUCUUAUCUAUUGUCAGGACAUGUUAACUCGCAUUUUUAUUCCUAUUGCAUGUUUUGGACACUGGAUUUUUCUGUUUUUGCUUGGAUUAAUGAAUUAAAUAUUAAAGUAUAUCUGUUGCAGCUGGUCAGAGGAAGCAAAAUGAGUCAAUUUCCAGGUUCAGAGUUUGAGAAAUUUCAUUUUCUGUGACAUUUCAUUGAAUUAUAAUUUAAAAGUUCUCUUGAACUUAAUAAAAUUUUGGAGGGUCGGGAGAUUUCGCUUAUGGGUAAAUUUAGUAGUUGACCAAGAGAACCCGUUCUGUCUCCUUUCGAUUGGGAAUAACUUGGUUUUCAUAUUAGGACCUUGUAACUCACAAAAAUCUGUCCUACUGAUAAAUCUUGAAGGCUGGUAUUAUUAGAAACUCUGGUACAAACAUAAAUUCUUUUUAUCCUUUGAUUUUUGGCAAAGACAGACAUAGGUAACUUGCAUAAAGUAAAUUUUAUGAUUUUACAGUUAAUUAGUCCAUAGAAUAUAAAAAUUACUCUUUCCAUUUAGUUGUAAUGUUGUCACAAGAAGCGGGUUUUGUCCUUCACACUGAACUCUCUCUCUCUCUCCCCCUCUUAGUCUCUGUCCAUCUCUCUCUCUCUCUCUCUCUCACACACACACACACACUUUAUCUAUCUCUCUGUCUCUCUGUCUCUCUGGUGUAGGCUAAAAUAGAGUUGAUUGAAGUGUGAAAUGACAGAUAAACAUGGGUUUUACUUAGUUCUUGACAAGGAUGUCUUGAAGAUGAUUCAAAACAGUUAAUGCUAUAUAUCUUAAUAGUUCUUUAGUUUCUAAAUGCCUGUACAAAUUUGCAUGCAUAAUUUUAUGACUUGGACAUUCUUUGUGCUUUGCUUUGAAUCCUUGACCAAUAAGACAGGAACAAAUUUUUAUCUUCAUAAUGUGUGAGGACAGUUUAAUCUUCAUCUUGAAUCCUAAUGCGUUCAUGAGAUGUUUUGUUGGAACUUGUAUUAUUUGGGACUACAGUAGGAGAUUAACUUGAUAAAAUAAUAGGAAGGUGGAAAAACGAUUCAAUUCCUACAAAAAGCAGAGUGGAACUGGGAAAGUGAAAUAGUAGUAUGAUGCUAGAAACACUUGAGAUUGGUAGUAAACACUUUCUUCUGGCUUCAAAGUUUGUUCUUCAUGUCAAAGGUGCUUUUGGCCCUCUAGCCUCGGCAAGAACAAGGGACAGGAUAUUAACAGCAGUAACAUGUCCAUUUCUGGAUCUGAAGUAAAUCCCUUCGUCGAAAAUCGAGUGAGGAGUCUGACUGUGCCUCUAAAACUCCAGUUAGUUUUAAAGUAAUAAAGGUAUCAAAGGGGGAAUUUACAGAUAAGGCAGAUUGUGGGAAGGGGCUCUAGAUCUUGGUUAGGGAUGGGCUUGGGGACGGAGAGGAGAGGUGUAUGGUUGUAAUCAGCUGGUCUUUUGGCGACUCUUUAGAUUCUCAAAAUGGAAGGGUGUUCAAUGUAAUGGAUAAGUAAUUGACUGGGGACUGAAUAAAUUGAAUGCUUUAUUCUUUAGAACAAUUCAUCCAAUCAUUUAAUCUUCUUAGUUUGUCGAUACCAACUACCAUAAUUGACAACAAUAAGAAUUAGUGCCAAUAUGUGUCUAAUGUAUUUAAGACAUUUAAUUGCAUUUUAGCUGAUACGUUACUGAAGAUCAAUACUUGUUGGAAAGGUGGUGUUGCUUAAGUUGAUAGCUGUAACUUGAUGCGACUUGCCACAAAGACAUGGUACUUGAUUUGGUUUAGUUUAUAUUGCCUAGAUGAUAUCUUGUUGUCAAGUGCAUCAUGCAGGAAAGUAGUAAAGUAUGUAUGGCAUCACUGUCUUUUCUAAGUCGUAAUGAAGAUCUAAAAAUUCAAAAAAUUCAGGCCUGAACUAGUUUAGAUUGAUAAAGUGAAAUGUCUUUGUGCAGUAAUUUGUAGGCUGAGAUUUUAUUAGCAUUGAGUCAAAUUUGGCAAGACCUACAACAGUGAAAUGUCUUUGUGCAGUAAUUUGUAGGCUGAGAUUUUAUUAGCAUUGAGUCAAAUUUGGCAAGACCUACAACAUUUUUAAUCACUAUUGAAAGGCCAGUGUGCUAAUUGAAAAACAAAGAGAACUGCAAUAAAGUUGAAUGAAAUUACUGAACUUUCAAAGGCUGAAUACUAACAAACCUGUGAAGCUCAGUGCAUAACCAAUCAUCAGUCCACCGAUAAUGGUCAGAAGUAGGCAUUCAGCUGUUGGUGCUACAUUCUGUUCAUCUCCAUGGUCAUCUUCCUGAGACUUCAUUAUACAAAUAAUUAGCCAAUACAGAUUGAUUUUGGUCUUGGUAAAUUCAAACUGAUUGGAAAAGUGAAAGUUCGUAUGCAAGAUUUAGUUUUUGUACCUGUCUGCUAGGGGGGCUGGAAGAAAGGACCUGAGAGGUAUCACUCUGAGCCCGCCCUAUUUCACCUUCCUGGUUUGUAAAAUAUGAUACUAGUUAAGCAUUUUGACUGGAGUGAGACGGAUUAAUUGUAUUUGGUCGCCCCAUUUAUAUCAUUUUACACGUUACAUUCCAAUUUUAGUAGACAUAUUAAAUCCAAAUAUGAGAUAGAAAUAACCAUCUCCAAUAUAAUAAAAUACAAUUGCAAAUGCAAGGACAAAAAAAAAAUUACAAUCCAACAUUUGAUGGCUUCUUUGGAUUAAUGGAGAAAAAAUUUCCAAAAAUGCUAAAUUCUAAAUCAACUAAAGGGUGUCUUUGGGUCCAUGGGAUUGGAAUUGGAGGCCCUAAUUCGAAAUCUCCUGUUUGGGUAUUGAAUUCUUUAGCUGAAAAUUGGUGCUUUUAUCUUAACUCUCUUCAAGACUUAAACUUUGGGAUGAUUAGAUAGCUUUAGUAAUAAAUUAUGUGCUGAAUCUCUAUUGAAACUGUAACUUCACAAUUUGGGAUUGGAUGGGCAAACUGGAGUUUAGGCUCAGGGAUUUUUUUUUCCAAUUAUUUUUUGGAUUUAUCUAUGCAUUUAUGUCUUAAUUAUUUUUCUGUUAGAAUUUGCUAUUGGCCAUGGCAUGGUCUUGUGGACGUGUCAUAGGAAUUAUGCCCUUCUUGGACAGUGUUUAGUAAAGUUUAUCCUAAAAGGAUUACCUAUUAUUUGUGAGUCGAUCGGGAACCAAGUUGCAACCAUUGUGUGACUAGAAGCGGACUCUUUUUUUCUGAAAAUGUUUAGCUUUCUAAUAGGUAAAAUAAGUUGAAACUUUCUGGAGAUAGUUAUCAGUUAGGUUAUUUGGUUGUGCGGACAUGAAUCUCUAACAUUUUGCCAAAUGCAGACCAUUUCUAAGGCUCUGGCCAGAGCAACCAAGCAUUUGACAAGAUAACUGCUUAGAUAAAGCUGUCAAUUUUUGAGGAAAAGAUCAAACUUUUCUUACUUCACCUCAUUUAAUUUGGUUAUCAUUAUUGUAACUUGUGCACGUUCAAUUGUUUUCAAUACUCGUCUUUACCAUAUUGUUUGCUCCAUACUGCUCCUCUUUAUUCAAUAAAGGGGAUUUAAUAGGAAACUUUAAUGUAGUAGUUUAUGAGGUAUUCUAUGCAUGUUGCUAUGCCUUAAAAUUUUUAUCUGUCAAUAAGUCAUGGUUAUGCCACGGUUGGCUGGAUGUGUCUAGUCACGAUGAGCUCUACCUUAAUGUUGAAAUUGUGGUUGUGCAGAUUUUGUCAUCACAUGUUUCCCUUCAACUGAUGAGUGGUUAGAACUGAGUAAUCUUAACUGGGAACAAUAGCAGGUCCACAGUUCAUGCUCUUUACAGCUUUUUCUUAGUCUGCAGCUACAGGUGUAUGGUCUGGAGUCUCUAGGUUGUCACUCAGGUGUUAGAUCUUGAGAUCUGGAUUUCAAAUAUUAUUGUAUUCAGGAGUUUGCUCCUAUGUAAAAUCUGAAGACUGUAUAGUUGUAGCAGUAGGAUUUUUCACAUAAAAGUUGAAGCCAACCGCCUGUUGGUAUUUUUAGACGUGAUUGGUCGGUGUGAUUUAGUUUCAAGGUUAUAGGGAGCAUUGUGUAUCUGAUGGUUUUUCUUUCUUUUUUAUGUUUCUUUUGGCAAGGUAUCUGGGGCAGAGUGAGGUAUAAAAGUGGAUGAAAAUCUAUAUUUAACCCAAAAGAUGAAAGUAUAUGCUUCUAAAUCUUACCUUUCUGUGACCAGAUUAUCUCAACCUUGUAUAGUCUAACAGACUGAAAAGACAUGAUGUCAAAUCGAAUUUGGUGAGCUGUAAAUCUGAUGAAUCAUGUGAAUUUGCAGGACCUCGAAAUCCCAGGGGUUACAGUGUUAACUAGAGGGGAUAAACUUGUAGAGAAGUGUUAGUUGACUGAGCUCAAGAAUAUGCCAUUUUUGGUUGGAAUUGCAGAGCAUUGAGAAAGAUGAAAAUUUUGAGCAGUGGAUAGAGAGAAUCAAGAAAAACUAACAAAAAAUGUGAUUAGAACGUUGAGCAAUUUCAGUUUGUUCACUUUACGUUUUCAUUGUCAGGGAGAUCCUUGAAAAUGAUGGCAGUAUAAUUGCCGGAAAGUAGCCACCCAUGACAUGGAUGAUGGUUCGCUGUUAUUGAAGCAGGCUGCUUUUACUUCUCUCCCAAAGGACAGAGGCCUCUAAUGCUCAAUCUUUGUAUGACGUUUAUUUGUCAAGAGGAAGUUGGCGAUCUUUGAUGGCGGUAACAAUGAAUUGUAGAGGAGGAUUAAUAAGGGACCCUUCAGUGGAUUUUGAAGAAUUUAUUCAAAGAGUUGAUGCCUGCACCAAGAAGUCAACAAUGAAAUGAGGCUACAAAGACAGGAGUUUCCAACUAAUUGUUCCCUAGAUAUGAUUAGUUGGGGUCCAGAUAUUACUAGUUGAGGAUAGAGCCCUGAUAAUAUUCAUCACCAAUCCCAAAAUUGUCAUAUAAUGCUUACAGACAGGAUGUGGUUUAGAGUGAAUGCACCUUGUUUUUAUGUUCGUACAUUGCUGUACUUUUAUUCUGUACAUUUCGACCGUGGAGUUCUUCCAAGAUUGGAAUCUAUUAUCUGAUGCUUCUUAGACUAAUAGAAUACUUUUGUGUGUGUGUGUGUGUCAAAA